UUGAAAAAGUUUACUGUUUUCUAUUGCAAAUUAUUAAAACCAAUGCAUAAAUCACAAAGUACCCUGUAUUAAGGUGUCACAAGGUGAAGAAGCUAACGCUUACCAAUCUCAAAGUCACAAGAACUUUGGCCCAGCUUUACAUUUCUGAAGUCUUAGACCAGCAAAUUUGGCAUCAAUUUGUGUACUAAGUCCUCAUUUUUUCGACCUCUUCUACCAGGCCACCCUGUUUAAUUAUUUUACGAAUAGCAAAUUGAAACUAGAAUGUAUUUUUCACAAUUCCUUUCAGGUGCUCUGGAUUAAUGUAUAAACUUAUCAUCUUAAUUUUUUUUUCUUGGGACUGACCAUGGUUUUAACGUGAGGAUAAAUUAUAAAUAGGAGACAGAAAAUAAUUUACAUUGGUUAGAGGUAUAGGGGAGGUUUGAGAUCUCACAAAAAUGUUUAACCUUGUCGUAUUUGUUGCACCUGUCCCAAGUCUGGAAUCUCUGCCACAGUCUUGUAUGAUUUUUUUUAUAAUUUAAAUUUUGGUUCAUUCAUAUGUUUCGAAGUUAAUUGUGACAUUCAUUUUAUAUGAACUAGUUCACAUUUUUGUUCAGGAAACGACCAUUUGGCUUCUACCAAACCCCAUACCCCCUUUUUUGAAGUAAAAUUAUUGCCCUUUUAGGAACCAGCUUAAUCCCGCCUCCUUUUGUAGGAUUUCCUCGCUGUGUUGAAGACUCAUUUUUUUCUGCCUUUGGCUGUUUUCUACUCUUUGAAUGGGUUGUUGUUUCUUUGACACAUUCUUCAUUUCUAUUCUCUACUAUAUUCAAA
rnacentral:lncRNA from 1 species